UUAUGAAUAAAUUACUUUGUUCAAUAUUAUUCAUAUAAUUACUCCCAAUUAAUUGUACAUGAAAUGGAUGGAAUGCUCUUGGGAAGACCAAAUUGGUUCAAGAUCCAUCAAGAGGGAGAUGGACAUUAUUUGGACCCAAAUUUUUUAUCUUGAAUCUCCUUCCUGUCAAAAGUUAUCCUUUGAAUAUGAUGGAUGCUCAAUGCAAGCCACUAUAUGCACAAUAACGCUGCCUCGCUGUCAUUUGUUUUCCUGGUGGUUUAUUUGACAAAUGUAUGCACNNNNNNNNNNNNNNNNNNNNACAAUAACGCUGCCUCGCUGUCAUUUGUUUUCCUGGUGGUUUAUUUGACAAAUGUAUGCACAUUGCUAUUGCAACAAACAACAUCCAUCUCAGCUAUAUUGGAUGCAAUACAUGAAUGGCUUGGUGAAUUUUACUUUUACUGUUUUUUCUCUUUUUUCCCCAUACGGAUGUUUGAUGAGGUAGGAUCCAAUUAUCAAUACACUUAUUAUCAUGAUUUGUUAAUUGUGUCCAAGCAAGAUUAUGCUCUGUGCUGUAGUCAUGAUUAAAAUCUCAUGCAGG
rnacentral:lncRNA from 1 species